GAUGAACGCUGGCGGCGUGCCUAAUACAUGCAAGUCGAGCGAACGGACGAGAAGCUUGCUUCUCUGAUGUUAGCGGCGGACGGGUGAGUCACACGUGGAUAACCUACCUAUCAGACUGGGAUAACUUCGGGAAACCGGAGCUAAUACCGGAGGAUCUUUUGAACCGCAUGGUUCAAAAGUGAAAGACGGUCUUGCUGUCACUUAUAGAUGGAUCCGCGCUGCAUUAGCUAGUUGGUAAGGUAACGGCUUACCAAGGCAACGAUGCAUAGCCGACCUGAGAGAGUGAUCGGCCACACUGGAGCUGAGACACGGUCCAGACUCCUACGGGAGGCAGCAGUAGGGAAUCUUCCGCAAUGGGCGAAAGUCUGACGGAGCAACGCCGAGUGAGUGAUGACGGCGUUGGGAGCGUAAAACCCUGUUAUGAGGGAAGAACAGAUGUGUAAGGAACCGUGCACAGCUUGACGGUAACGAAUCAGAAAGCAACGGCUAACUACGUG
rnacentral:rRNA from 1 species